rnacentral:rRNA from 1 species
ACUCUUGGAUGGACCUGCGGUGCAUUAGCUAGUUAGGUAGGGUAACGGCCUACCAAGGCGAUGAUGCAUAGCCGAGUUGAGAGACUGAUCGGCCACAUUGGGACUGAGACACGGCCCAAACUCCUACGGGAGGCAGCAGUAGGGAAUCUUCCACAAUGGACGCAAGUCUGAUGGAGCAACGCCGCGUGAGUGAAGAAGGGUUUUCGGCUCGUAAAGCUCUUGUUGUUGGUGAAGAAGGACAGGGGUAGUAACUGACCUUUGUUUGACGGUAAUCAAUUAGAAAGUCACGGCUAACUACGUGCCAGCAGCCGCGGUAAAU